UAGAAAUUGGAGUUGUGUUUGAACAUGAAUACAACUUGGAAAAAUGUUUGAAUUUUUGUGAGUUAUUUGGAGUGAAAAAUGCGAAAACAGAUAUUUGGAGUUUUUCGAAUUCCGGAAAAUUGGAACAAUUCUAUGUCCAAACAUGAUUCCGGAAUAAAACUCUGGAAAAAAGUGAAAAUCAUCCAUGGCCAAACGGGUGUUUUUUUGCAUUCCGUUUGUCGGCUUGUUCUUUCCUUGGUGCGGGAGAAUGGCUUAGAGUGACAGUUUUUGCUACUCGAGUAUGGUUCAUUAGUUGUAGUCCCUUCUAAAGUCAGGUUUUAUAUGUUUCAAUUCCUAUAAAACUUAGACUGCUGUUCUCUGGUUGAUUUGUGUUUGCCUAUAAUCUUCAUCAUGAAUGGUAGUAUAAGAUAAUAAGCUUGGCUAAGGCCUUAUUAAUAUUUAAUGUUUGGAUUGGAGGAUACGUUCUUAAACUAGUGAACUUAUUGUCCAUGUUGUAAACACAGGCUUCUGUUCUUCUUUAUUUAGCUUAAUAACUGACCCAAUCUGUGUAAAGCAUUUUCCAUAAUUGAAUGAACUCAACCAGAUUAGCAGCUGCCUUCAUCCAACUUCUUGUUUCUGAUCUUUGAUGGCCGUUUAAGAAGUUAGGCUUAAUUGGGGCCAACACUUUUGUGUCUGAGAUUGUAGUAGGUCUUUAAGCAUUGUGUUUAUAUCUCUAAUUGGAGUUGGAGUAGGUCUUUAAGCAUUGUGGUUAUAUCUCUAAUUGGAGUUGGAGUAGGUCUUUCAGCAUUGUGUUUCUCUGAUUCUUAGGUGAUGUAAUAUCAUGAAUGUAUAUCUGGUAUUUCUGUUCAGUUACUGUUGAAACAAAAUUCUAUUGGACUUUCCCAUUGCACCGGGUGAUCCAUAUUUCUCUCUAUAGUAGGAAUCCCACACAAAGUGAGAGUCAUCAAAAUGCUGAGAUCAACAAUAUGAUAUGAGAGUAGAGAUACAAGGAGAGUGAAUGUAUCUCUACACUCUGAGUAUCCAACAUAUGCACAAGAUAAGCAUCUUAAAAAUACAAAUAUUAAAAUGGCUAUGUAGUCAUACAAGAUUACUAAUGAUCACAUCCAUUAGAAUGUACAAGUAUACAAGUAGAACACAUAGACGAUGAAUAAGAAAAGGUUUCAUGAGAUGGGUCGAUCAUAUCCUGUGUAGACCUAUUAUGAAGCAAUCAAUACUAUGACGAUUGAAGUUGAUAAACAGAUGUAGAGAUAAAAUCACAUUAAAGAAAGUUACCUCAAAAGCCACACCAUAUAUCAUAAUUGAUGUGAUGUAGCUAAGAUCAUAACAAUGAAGAGCAAAGGAUUCGUAUAGGCGAUAUCAACUACUCAAUAUUUGAACUUAGUUGUUAUUAUCACUCACGUUAAUCAACCCCAACUAGUUUGAGAUUGCAGAAUUGUUGAUUGAUCGAUACUGUGGUUACUUGCGCUUGGAAUGCCAAACUUGAGUGUUGUGCUUUGCCAUCUGAACUUUUCAAACUGGUGAACCUCUUGCACUGUUGAGACUGCAAAGUAUUUCUGUGAACCUCAUCUUUACAACUAAUGAGAGUGACCUCCAAUUUGAAAGUCAAAAUAGAGGAGGAAAGAGAUGUUGAUUAGCCGGUCCUGCUAAGUGGAAUCCUGUUUAUUGGACCACUUCUAAUCAUUUGCAGUUCAUGUUAACACUUUCCUAUGAAGAGUGAACAGAAGUAAACCAGUGGAUAAAGUGUGUAUAUUUGGCCAAGUGCAGUGAUAGAACUAAGUUUAGAUGGUAAAGAAACCCGAAAGAAUUGGAUGGCAAAGUUAAUACUCCUCCCUUCUCCUACACCCAAAAAUGAAUAGAUGCUUACUUAAUACAUUACUUUUUGAGAAACUGGUACUGUUGUAUUCCUCAGCAUUUUAAGGAUCCUAAGAAUUCAACAAGUUGAUCUACUUCUUCUAUACAUUGUUCUUUUGCACCAAAAAUAAAAAGAUACAAUACAAUUCCCCUUCACUUUAUGAAUAGAAUUGGACCUAUCUUCAAAACAUCUUUCAUUCCUUUCCUUCCAUACAGACUACCAAACACAGGCAGGGAUACUCCUCCACCACUUCUUCUGACUCUUACUUCCACUCCUUCUCACCCAACAACUCGGUAGAUCUGAGGUGUGUGCUGGCAUGGUCCAAUUAACCUUUGUGAGGCUAAAAAAGAUUGCCCAAAUCUGAGCUGUGAAUCUGCAAUGGAGAAAUAGAUGACUGUUUGUUUUCCCUGUUUCGUUGCAUAAGCAGCAUAUAGAAACUACAGGUAGCCCUUUUUCUGGAGCACUUCAUGUGUUAGGCAAGAUCUCCUAGCCACCAGCCAGGUGAAACAUUUUACUUUGAGUGGUGCUAUGCUUUUCCAGAUUUUCCUCCAUAAGUGUGGGUUGUCCCUUGCCAAUCCCAUAAUAUCCCUUCUAUAAACUCUAUCAGCUGAAAACACUCCAUUCCUGUUAUGUUUCCAUCCCACUUGCCAAACUCAGUAGAAAUACCUGUAAUACCUUCAAUAUCCUUCAAAAGAUUUGCCACUCUUUCUACCUCCCAAUCAUUCAAAUACCUUCUGGAGUUUAAAUUCCAUCCUUGAGGGCUCCAGCAAUCAAAAACAGUAGCAUUAGGAUUGUUGCAUAAUAAGAAUAAAUCAGGAUAUGAGUCCUUCAAAGCAACCUGACCAUUCCAACUUUCCUUCCAAAACCUAGUUCUCCUGCCAUUGCCCACUAUAACACAAGAAUUCACUUCCAAUUUUGGUCAUAAAGCUCUGAUUGAUCUCCACACCCCUUCUCCAUAAGUGUUUGUUACUGUACUUGUGCACCAGGUACUUCUCUGUCCGUAUUUGCAGUGUAUGACUUCCUUCCAUAAGGCUUGUUAUUUAACAUUGUUCUUCAACAUUGUACCUCCACAUCCACUUCAUCAAAAGGCUACUGUUCUGCAACCUGAAAUUUCUAAUUCCAAGUCCUCCCUGUUCUUUGCUCAAUUGAGUGGUUUGCCAUUUGACUAGAUUAUACCCUCUGCCUUCUUUUCUGCCAUGCCAUAAGAAAUCCCUUCUCGGUUUGUCAAGCUUCUUCACCACCUUUGAUGGAACAGGAAAAAGGGACAUUACAUAGGUUGGUAA